rnacentral:rRNA from 1 species
AGCGGGUUVUCDCGACUGGUCGGAGGUCAGACAGACAGACAGACAGACAGGCCGGCGGACAGGCAGACACACACCCACCCGGCCGUGCUGCAGUGCCGCAGUGUCGCUCUGCAMUCAAGCAUCVCAGCCUACUUUGCGUGWUUGAWGGGCCCAAAUUACACACUCACUGGGYCACUGCUUGUGAACUGGGGVCGGCUGGCCGGCUGGCUGACUGUCUGUCAGUCUGACUYACUYACUUGACUCAUGVCAAUGGCUCCACYACMGCWAAGAACAGCGCAUCAAMYUGCAAYWCAAAGAGGCAAGWACGCAAGCGAGGGAAGCUGGGCGAAGCGCAGCACAGCACAGCACAGCACAGCGCAGCGCAGCAAACGCCCUGACGGCCCUACCGCGCGCAACACAAGACACGCACCGCGCCUUACCUUGGAGAGAAGCUACACCACCACCAVCCGACCAGCGAUCUCCCAAGCCACUGCCUAUUACGCACAGCGAUAGUUCAUAAGCCGACGCUCGGACAGAC